AGAGUUGAUCAGGCUCAGGAUGAACGCUAGCUACAGGCUUAACACAUGCAAGUCGAGGGGCAGCAUUGGAGUAGCAAUACUCAGAUGGCGACCGGCGCACGGGUGAGUAACACGUAUCCAACCUGCCGCUUACUCGGGGAUAGCCUUUCGAAAGAAAGAUUAAUACCCGAUGGUAUAAAGAGUUCGCAUGUUCUCUUUAUUAAAGAAUUUCGGUAAGCGAUGGGGAUGCGUUCCAUUAGAUAGUUGGCGGGGUAACGGCCCACCAAGUCUACGAUGGAUAGGGGUUCUGAGAGGAAGGUCCCCCACAUUGGAACUGAGACACGGUCCAAACUCCUACGGGAGGCAGCAGUGAGGAAUAUUGGUCAAUGGACGAGAGUCUGAACCAGCCAAAGUAGCGUGAAGGAUGACUGCCCUAUGGGUUGUAAACUUCUUUUAUAAGGGAAUAAAGUGAGGGACGUGUCCCUUUUUGUAUGUACCUUAUGAAUAAGGAUCGGCUAACUCCGUGCCAGCCGCGGC
rnacentral:rRNA from 1 species